rnacentral:lncRNA from 1 species
CAAAAAGCAGCUGGGAAGUGAGCACAGAAAAAGGGCAUAACCUGAUUUUGGUCGUUUCAUAUUCAGGGCAGGUCCGCCCUUCAGACUUUCCUUGAAUCCUAUUGUAUUUCGGCCCGAGGAUUCUCCUCACGUCUCCUUCCGCUAUUCUCCGCGCGCGCACAGAGCUGCUGGAGGAGCCAACGUCCCAGUCUUGUGAUGGCAGCUCGCCCUUAGAACACUGGGAGAAAUGAGAGAAUACAAUCAUAGAAUCUUAGUCUUUGCAGAAACCUCUGAGAGACUCUAUUCUAUUCAUCCACCCAAAGGAGGAAUUCAUACUCAAAUAUCCCUGACAAAUGACCCAUUGACAAUUCUGAGACUUUCCUGGCUCAGCAAUCUACAGAUCAUUCAUCAGCAUGUAAAUGUCUUCCCAGCAGUAACCUUGGCAUUCCCAGAACAACAUACUCUCCUUCUUAUCCCUGGUCCAUCAGGGCCAUUUAAAAAAUUGCAAACUCUAGACUUAAAGUAUUCAGCACAUAGGAGAGACUCAAUCUGGUACUUGGUAUAGUCCCUGCUUGCAAGAUAAAUAAAUGAAAGAAUCAAAGAAUACACACGUAAGCAAUAUCAAGUGCUAUCCAAACUUCUGCGUUCAGAGAAACCUUGAAUCAGGGAAUAUCUAUAAAUAGAAACUGGGAGAGUAGUGUUCCACAAAACUCACUUUGAGAAACGCUAGGCUAGAUGAAGUUACAACAGAGAAGUAGUAACUGGUUUUGACUAUUCUUCAAGUCUUCUCUCAAACACUCUGCACCAAAGAAGCCAGCCCACAUUUCUCAUUUGUUUGUGUAUCUGUAAAAUGUUGAACUUCUAUUAAAACUGUCAUCAAAAUA